UUGUUAAAGAGCAAAAUACUGAUCAUGGCUCAGAUUGAACGCUGGCGGCAGGCUUAACACAUGCAAGUCGAGCGGUAGCACAAGGGAGCUUGCUCCCCGGGUGACGAGCGGCGGACGGGUGAGUAAUGUCUGGGAAACUGCCUGAUGGAGGGGGAUAACUAGUUAUCCCCCUCCAUCAGGCAGUUUCCCAGACAUUACUCACCCGUCCGCCGCUCGUCACCCAGGGAGCAAGCUCCCUUGUGCUACCGCUCGACUUGCAUGUGUUAAGCCUGCCGCCAGCGUUCAAUCUGAGCCAUGAUC
rnacentral:rRNA from 1 species